rnacentral:rRNA from 1 species
GAUAGUGGCGAAUUAGUGGGACUGCCGUUGUUAAAACGGAGGAAGGAGGGGCUACGGCAGGUCAGUAUGCCCGGAAACUCUGGGGCCACACUCGGGCUGCAAUGGUAGCGACAAUGAGCUCCAAACUCGAAAGAGAGUGGCAAUCUCUAAACGCUACCACAGUUAUGACUGAGGGCUGUAACUCGCCCUCACGAAUAUGGAAUCCCUAGUAACCGCGUGUCAUUACCGCGCGGUGAAUACGUCCCUGCUCCUU